CUCUCUCUGGCUUCUUCUCCUUUUAGGGCUCUCCGGUUUCUCUCUUUUCGAGUGAAGUAGCGGAGGCAGGGGGUCGUGGGGGUGCGGCUGCUGCGCUACUAAGGGUUGGAGAGGCGGGAGGUCUUGGUGAAGCCGCGGCGGCGGCGGCCGUCGCUGCUGGAGCCGCGGGAGAAGAGGCGGCUGCGGCGGCUGGUCGAACGGGAGCUCAAGGGGUGGACGUUGCUGAAGCUACCCAAGGUCUUCCGCUGGUUCCUCUACCACUUGUUGUUCUUCCCUUGGUGGUGCGAGAGGAAGUAGAAGCUGUUCCCGCAGUAGCAGCGGCGGCUGAGGGCCCGGUCGUACCCGCCGAUGUAUAGAAGCGUUUGACACUCCUUUUAGUAGCUCUAAUUAGGGAUGUACGACCCUUGGUACCGACCUCCACGACGACUAACGGUCAAAACCGUAUCUUUGAACCCCCAUUUCACGGCCGAGGUACUCGAACGGUUGUUCGCUUCCUAGAGAUAACGACCAAGAAGUUUCUGCAAUCGAUUAUAGGAAAUGAGCAUGGCGCCCUACCCUGAAAGUUAGCCAUGUUACUAACGACCUAAACUACUUUGACCAGGCCCUAACAUGAUACAACUGUCACUCCCACGUUCCGAGUUCCCUUCGGCCAAGAGACAACCAAGACCGAGAGAUAUACGAAUACCAUAGAACCUACUCCCAAUGUUUAAGUUGUACAGUCAACUCCUUCGACGACUCAAUCGUGCCGCCCGAUAAAUAGUACGUUGUAAGGCACUGCCUCGGUCACCACCGACACAAUCACAGAUGAUGCAACCGGGACUGCCGACCUUCUUCGACAGACCUCUACUACAACCCCUCGACGUGAUGGUGAUGAUGGGUCAGGUCCGCCGAGGGCAGCUCGUUCUCUACCGGCUCCGGGGAAGACGCAGUUGGACUAACUACAGCAUGCUUUAAGGCACUUGACACGACUUCGUGGAACAAAAUACCUGACCCCCGAACAAACAGAGGAGGAGCUGUAAUCUCACAAGAGAAGACUCUGGACGACUACAAGCUGAAUGCGUAGACCAUACCGUCACACCAACAUCUGACUACUUACAAUAUCUACAAAGGUAACUUCAAAGUAAACUUAAGCGAGCGAACGGACAACAAUACUGAAAACACAAACGACGACCUAUCAGACCCGGAUCCCACCCGUUUACUUCUACGAAAAAUUUAGUUGCCGCUUGACUCUUCACGUGCAAAGAAACCACUUUGACUACCAGGCUGCCUACGACUUGUUAGCACGACAUUUGUAAUCCGCUUUUUCAGAGUAUAAGUUUGGAGUGAAAAAAGUACGUCUCCAUAUUUCUACCUGAGCAAGCAAAGGACAUCUUGUCCGCCGUGACGUCUAAAGCUCGUAAAGCAAGGAGAGACUUAAAAUGAUGAGACUGCAAAUAGCCUCAUCAUUUUCAUAGAAAAAAAUCUGUUACAUUUUAUAGAAGAGUUUACUAUUCACAGUGUGUACACCGUGCUUCAUUG
rnacentral:rRNA from 1 species